rnacentral:ncRNA from 1 species
AGUUAUCAUGAAUCAUCAUAGCAACGGGCAAAGCUUAUGUCGACUUUUUAUCUAAUAAAUGCAUCCCUUCCAAAAGUAGAUUCAUGAUACUUGAUGGAUCGUAUGGCCAUCGUGUCGGCGACGCAUCAUUCAAAUUUCUACCUUUAUCAACUUUCGAUGGUAGGAUAGUAGCCUACUAUGAUAAUGACAAGUGACGGAGAAUUAGGAUUCGAUUCUGGAGAGGGAGCCUGAGAAAUGGCUCCCGCAUCUAAGGAAGGCAGCAGGCGCGUAAAUUACCCAAUGCCGACACAAGGAGGUAGUGACAAUAAAUAACAAUAUCGAGCUCUUUGAGUCUAGUAAUUGGAAUGAGUACAAUCUAAAUCCCUUAACGAGAAUCCAUUAGAGGGCAAGUCUAGUGCCAGCAAUCGCGGUAAUUCUAGCUCCAAUAGCGUAUUUUUAAGUUGUUGCAAUUAAAAAGCUCGUAGUUGGACCUUGAGUUGGGUCAACCAGUUCGCCUCACGGUGUGCAUCGAUUGGCUCAUCCCUUCUACGGGCGAUACGCUCUUGGCCUUAACUGACCAAGU